rnacentral:rRNA from 1 species
AAACCAUUCAGAGGUAAACCUAAGAAACCCAAAAGAUCGAAUGGGGAGAUUCAUUGACAACGGUGCUGACUCCUGUUGAUGCGUCAUGCUCCGGACGAAUCCUCGUGAUUCAUCGGCAAGGGCACAUCACUUUCGGCUUGAAUGUUCCGGCAUAGUAGUCGUGUAUUUUUCUCCUAGUAGAAUGUCACGAUUUGUUGUGUGUCGAGGGUGCGUCCAAGAGAACGCCUGUCACGUCGCUUCGUGCGCACGUGGCAGACUGUUGAUUGCCUGGCCGGCUGCACGACGGUACUCGCAUGAUAUCGGGCAACAACCAAUUCAUUUUUUCGAAUGUAUGUGCGUCAGGCCCGCCGCAAGCUCGGCUAUUAGGAGCCGGUGUACUUGAUCCUGACUAAGACUCGAAUUAUCAGUCGGCGAUGCUAUUGCUUGAGUACUCUCAGGAGCUGUCUUGACACAUGGAUCAAGAAGUUUAAUAUGUACGCGAGUCAUUAGAAUAAAAAAACUUAAAGGCGAAAUGAAAGUGAAGAUCGGACUUUGUGCCGAUCGAGGGAAGAAGAGCCGCGGCCACGCACUCCCAGGGCGCCUCGUUUUCACUGCGAGAAAAGACGCAUUGAGAGCGUA